rnacentral:rRNA from 1 species
CGCGCGCACUUGCUAGAUACCAACUCACCAACCGGGGCAACCCGUGCCGGUGACUCAUAGCAAUUGAGGCGAACCGCAUUGAUCGCCGCAAGGCGGGCGGUGAACCAAUCGAGUCUCUGCCCUAUCAGCUUCCGUCGGUACGGUAUUGGCCUACCGAGGCUGCCACGGGUAACGGGGAAUUAGGGUUCGAUUCCGGAGAGGGAGCCUGAGAAAUGGCUACCACAUCCAAGGAAGGCAGCAGGCGCGCAAAUUACCCAAUCCCAAUGCGGGGAGGUAGUGACGAGAUAUAACUGUUGGGGGCUUCGGCCUUCAAACGGGAAUGAGUACAAUGCAAAAGCCUUAACGAGUAUCGAUUGGAGGGCAAGUCUGGUGCCAGCAGCCGCGGUAACACCAGCUCCAAUAGCGUACGCUAACGUUGUUGCACUUAAAAAGCUCGUAGUCCGAUGUGCGGUGGUUUGCCCUGUUUCACUGGGCUCCCCGCGUCCGCGCCCUCGUGGUGCGGCCGGGGGUCAAAGCCCGCAGGGCGAUCAUCUUGGACCGAUGCCGCGGCGCGAGCCGCGGCGGUUCCUGUGAGCAAAUCAGAGUGUUCCAAGCAGGCGACGUGUCGCCCUGCAUGGUCUAGCAUGGAAUAACAGAGCGGGACUCUGGCUGCACUCGCGUGGCGCCCCGAUCAAAAGGGGCGCGCUCUUGUUGGUGAAGCCGGCCGGAGGACAUGGUUAAUAGGGACGGUUGGGGGCAUCCGUACUGCGGCGUCAGAGGUGAAAUUCUAGGAUUGCCGCAAGACGAACGACUGCGAAAGCAUUUGCCAAGGACGUUCCCAUUGAUCAAGAACGAAAGCCAGGGGCUCGAAGACGAUUAGACACCGUCCUAGUCCUGGCCAUAAACUAUGCCGACUGGGGAUUGGAGAACGUUUCCUUUCACAUGACUCCUCCAGCACCCUGCGCGGGAAACCAAAGUGUGUGGGCUGUGGGGGGAGUAUGGUCGCAAGACUGAAACUUAAAGAAAUUGACGGAGGGGCACCACCAGGAGUGGAGCCUGCGGCUUAAUUGGAC